rnacentral:rRNA from 1 species
AACGAACGCUGGCGGCAUGCCUAACACAUGCAAGUCGAACGAGAUCUUCGGGUCUAGUGGCGCACGGGUGCGUAACGCGUGGGAAUCUGCCCUUUGGUUCGGAAUAACAGUUGGAAACGACUGCUAAUACCGGAUGAUGACGAAAGUCCAAAGAUUUAUCGCCAGAGGAUGAGCCCGCGUAGGAUUAGCUAGUUGGUGUGGUAAAGGCGCACCAAGGCGACGAUCCUUAGCUGGUCUGAGAGGAUGAUCAGCCACACUGGGACUGAGACACGGCCCAGACUCCUACGGGAGGCAGCAGUGGGGAAUAUUGGACAAAGGGCGAAAGCCUGAUCCAGCAAUGCCGCGUGAGUGAUGAAGGCCUUAGGGUUGUAAAGCUCUUUUACCCGGGAUGAUAAUGACAGUAUCGGGAGAAUAAGCUCCGGCUAACUCCGUGCCAGCCGCCGCAGUAA